UUCCCAGUUAAAAUCAAUAUGAUAUCAAUCUCAUAUUUAUUUAUGGUUUUGAUGUAAAAAAUAAUCAAUUGGCUUAUAUGUUUUUUAAUUCAACUCUGCUGUUCUAUUCUAUUUCAACAUCAAUUUUAAUGUCAUACAUUUUAUCAGAUGCUGAGAAAUUUCUUCAUCACAGAAGUUAAGUCAUUGUAUCAUCUCUGACCUUAUUUUCU
rnacentral:lncRNA from 1 species